UCGGAUAUGGUGUAAUGGUUAACAUUACCGCCUCUCAAUCUUAGAAUUCGCGGUAGCUCGGGGUUCGAUUCCCCGUAUCCGAA
rnacentral:tRNA from 1 species